GAAGCAAACAAGAAAUGCGUCAACUACCUAGACAUCACACUUGACCUACGAUCCGCAUCAUACAAGCCUUACAUGAAACCCGGAAACACACCGCAAUACGUAAACCACGAAAGUAACCACCCACCAUCAAUAUUACGAUCAAUACCGCAAGCCAUAAACAAUAGACUAUCCAACAUAUCAUCCGAUAAGCAAUCAUUUGAUUCCGCCAUUCCCGCAUAUCAAGAAGCACUACAAAAAAGCGGUUACGACUACAAGCUUGAUUACAAUCCCCAACCACCCAAACCUAAACGAUCUAGAAGCAGAAAUAUAAUAUGGUUCAACCCCCCAUACAACUCCAAUGUCAUCACCAACAUUGGAUACAAGUUUCUUCAAGCUAUCGACGAUUCCUUUCCUCCUAACCACCCUCUACACAAGAUAUUUAAUCAAAACACUUUGAAAUUAAGCUACAGCUGCAUGCGUAACGUUCAUUGUAUUGUCU